rnacentral:rRNA from 1 species
AGGGUUUGAUCAUGGCUCAGGAUGAACGCUGGCGGCGUGCCUAACACAUGCAAGUUGAGCGAUUUACUUCGGUAAAGAGCGGCGGACGGGUGAGUAACGCGUAGGUAACCUGCCCUGUACACACGGAUAACAUACCGAAAGGUAUGCUAAUACGAGAUAAUAUGCUUUUAUCACAUGGUAGAAGCAUCAAAGCUUUUGCGGUACAGGAUGGACCCGCGUCUGAUUAGCUAGUUGGUAAGGUAACGGCUUACCAAGGCGACGAUCAGUGGCCGACCUGAGAGGGUGAUCGGCCACAUUGGAACUGAGACACGGUCCAA